rnacentral:rRNA from 1 species
AUUCCAGCUCCAAUAGCGAAUAUUAAAGUUGUUGCAGUUAAAAAGCUCGUAGUUGGAUUUGUUGUAAGAGUGAAGUGACUGGCACAAUGUCAGUCUUUUUCAUUCCACAUUCUUUGUGUUGGCUUUGGGAUGGCAUUCAGUUGCUGCCUCGAAUACACGCAUCUUUUACUGUGAAAAAAUUAGAGUGCUUAAAGCAGACGUUAUUGUCGUUGAAUACAUUAGCAUGGAAUAAUAAUAUAUGACUCGAUUGGUCUAUUUUGUUGGUUUGCACAUUUGAGUAAUGAUUAAUAGGGACAGUUGGGGAUAUUCAUAUUUGAGCGUCAGAGGUGAAAUUCUUGGAUCGCUGAAAGAUGAGCUAAGGCGAAAGCAUUUAUCAAGGAUGUUUUCAUCA